ACACUCUUAUUAACAUCCGUCACACAUGCAAAUCUCCCCAACCUCAGACAGAUAUAAAUACACUGCAAGUACACAGCAGUCUCUGUGUUUGGUCGAGUACAGCAGAGGAAUCAUGAGCUGGCCUCUUCUUCUUCUGAUAUCCUCUGUGUCCUAUGUUCAUGGCAUCAGUCUGACCUCGUCUCCUGCUGAGGUUAAACCUCCUGGAGCCUCAGUGAAGUUGUCCUGUCAGAUUUCUGGCUAUGCCCUCACUAGCCACGGCACAGGCUGGAUCAGGCAGCCUCCAGGAAAAGGCUUGGAGUGGAUCGGGAUCAUAUGGGGUGGUGGAAGCAUAGACUAUGGAGCUUCCUUUAAAACUCGCUUCAGCAUCUCCAGAGACACGAGCAACAAUGUGCUUUACUUAGAUAUCAGCAGCCUGGUGCCAGAAGACACGGCUGUUUAUUAUUGUGCAAAGACAGGCACAGCUGUACACCUCAUUGGGAGGGCUGUACAAAAACUUAAGAAAAAACAUUACCCUCAGUAAAAAUGCAAGGAUGAUCAAAUUGACAAAUAAUACAUUAGAAUGCAAAAAGCUUAAACUCUCCUUCACCAAAACACAGUGAAACACAUGGAAAGACUGUAAAGGGCAACACUGCAA